GGCUUGCAAGAGUUCAGACAAGUAGAAGUCAUACCGCAGAAGAUCUGUCCGGUUGCUGCCGUGAGUGUAAAGGCAAGAACCAAGGUAAGAACGAUAAGCUUAGUGUUUGGCUCCAUGGCUUUAUAUACUUUGAGAGAGUAUUUACCUAAAUGUCUUUUCAACAAUUUGUUGGGUUUGCUCUUCUCUUAGCUUAGGAUAGGCUAUACUACCUGCUUCAUAGGGUUUAUAUUGAGAGAAUAGGCACGUAACUGGUGAGAUUUAGAUAAAACGAAAUUAUAAUUUUAACAUGAAAGCAUGUUCACAGGCUUUUGAUAUUAUUCAGUAUCCAUAUUCAUGAGCACAUGUAGUGGAAAUAUCGAAUGUCGAAAAUGGUCUAUACUAUAGAGUAAGAAGACCCGUGAGACAUUGACAUUACUAUGUUCCAAUGUGAUAACUCGUCACGGGUGUUUUGGUGGCCUCAAAUUUUCUUAGGGGCUCAAAUUCAAUUUAAUUGCUUUCACAUGCACAGUAUGUAGGUACUUGUACUUGAUAUAUCUUGGAAGCAUUAUCCCAAUUUGACAAUUUAUUAAUGAGAAUAGUUGGUGGUCGGCUCUGUGAGUUAUGUAGCAGGCAAAAUGUGUCUUAUGGUUGUAUUUUGUGUUUUAUUAUCCCAAGCUAUGAUCUAACAUGUGUAGAUGAAUGUAUGAAGACAUUCUAAAAUAGAGCUAAUCAUAUAUUGCAGCUUGACCUCACAUUGCAUAAGUAGAAAGUGGAUUGAUUCUUAACCCCGAAAUACAAAAGUAAAAAAUAUUCCAUCAUGUGAAGUUGUGAACUGAAAGCAAUGAAAGUUUAUUUGUUUACUAAUUUGAGGGAAUUUUUUGCAGUCUCAACAAGUGGAACAGAACGAAGAUUGAAAUGCGUAGCAGAGGUCAAGUAGACACAGGCCAAAGAGACAUAAAUCCUGAACCAAAUCAUUGAUGAGAAGAAGGUGAGAUGUGUACAGAUGGUGGUGAAGGCAAUCACUGCCAAACAGUUUAUGAGGUACUUCUUUGUGUUGAACUCUUUCUCUGUUCCUUCGUUAGGGAAAUGACCAUUGGAGUAAAAGUCAUUGAGCAGCUGGUCUUUGAGCUGGAAUGUGUUCAUUAACCAAGCAUUGAUGUCCUUUUCUUGAUUUGGGAUUUGGGUCAGGUUGAUACGACGGAUGUGGAUGUGAACUUCUGAUGGCUCAAUUCCAUAAACGUUGUCUAAGAAAGAUGGGCAGCGGGUUUUAUAACCGAUGGUCACAUC
rnacentral:lncRNA from 1 species